rnacentral:rRNA from 1 species
CAGCAGGCGCGAAAUCUUUACAAUGCAGGAAACUGCGAUAAGGGGACCCCGAGUGCCAGCAUCUAAUGCUGGCUGUCCAGCUGUGUAAAUAGCAGUUGUUAGCAAGGGCCGGGCAAGACCGGUGCCAGCCGCCGCGGUAACACCGGCGGCCCGAGUGGUAACCGAUUUUAUUGGGUUUAAAGGGUCCGUAGCCGGCCUGUUAAGUCUCUUGGGAAAUCUGGCGGCUCAAUCGUCAGACGUUCAAGAGAUACUGAUAGGCUUGGGACCGGUAGAGGUGGGAGGUACUCCAGGGGUAGAGGUGAAAUUUUGUAAUCCUUGGGGGACCAUCGAUGGCGAAGGCAUCCCACUAGAACGGGUCCGACGGUGAGGGACGAAAGCUGGGGGCACGAACCGGAUUAGAUACCCGGGUAGUCCCAGCCGUAAACGAUGCUCGCUAGGUGUCAGACGCGGUGCGACCGCGUUUGGUGCCGCAGUGAAAACCUGAAGCGAGCCACCUGGGAAGUACGGUCGCAAGGCUGAAACUUAAAGGAAUUGGCGGGGGAGCACUACAACGGGUGGAGCCUGCGGUUCAAUUGGAUUCAACGCCGGAAAGCUUACCGGGUCCGACAGCAACAUGAAGGUCAGGCUGAAGACCUUACCAGAUUCGCUGAGAAGAAGUGCAUGGCC